UACGUAGGGGGCAAGCGUUUGUCCGGAUUUAUUGGGCGUAAAGAGCGUGUAGGCGGCUUUACAGGUCCGUUGUGAAAACUCGAGGCUCAACCUCGAGACGCCGGUGGAAACCGUAAGGCUAGAGUCCGGAAGAGGAGAGUGGAAUUCCUGGUGUAGCGGUGAAAUGCGCAGAUAUCAGGAGGAACACCCGUGGCGAAAGCGGCUCUCUGGGACGGUACUGACGCUGAGGAGCGAAAGCGUGGGGAGCGAACAGG
rnacentral:rRNA from 1 species